GUGAGCAGGGGCGUGGAGUGGCGAGGGGAGAGCAACACCAUCUUUCACAGAACUUUCGACACCGGGGGCAAUCUUUUAUCAUCUGCGCCGCUCCAUAAGGCUGGCUCUAACCACCUGUGCCUAAUGUGAUGAAGGAGCUGGAUUUUAAACAAAGUGUUUCAUUUUAAUUACUUUAAAUUUAAAGAGCCACACACAGCUAAUGGGCAGCGCAGGUACAGCACGUAUGAGAUGAUUUCCAACAUUCAGAAAAGUUCUGGCGUUUAGGGAAAGGUAUUUGUUUCAUCUCUGCUCCCCAGCAUGGCCUGCUUAGAGGACUUCAGACAAAGGCGCACUCUCUUCUUACACAGCCACGGCCCAGCACACCGCGUCGAUCCCCCCACGGUUUACUAUGCCACCUACCAUGAACUUUCACACCCUUUAUCUCUACUGGGAUUCACCGGCCUGUGACAGAAGUGGGAAAGUGGCCCCCCAGUCUGGAAGCCUUCCCCCCGCCCACACCCACGGGCUGGACAACGCGACAGGAGCCCAGAUCCCCCAGUCACCGAGAGGACAGCUGACCAGGGUGGCAGUGUGAUCCACUUUGGGCAGUGCUGAGCGAGAAAUGCACUUUGGUUCAAACGCUGAGUCUUGGGGCUGUCAGAGCAGUCCGUUUUGGUCAAAGGAAAUUAAUAGACAGCCCCGUUUUCUUUCUGUGGUUUUUAUUCUCACCAUUAGAGAGCUCUGGAAACUGGACAUCCAUUUUCCUGUUUAAUUGUAACUAGCUGGUAGCACUGGUAUUAUGGUUCGUUACCUUAAUAAUGACUCCGAUUAAACCACUCAAUUGAAUUAAAACACCUCAACUUAUUGGAUUUUUCUUCAAAAUCUGUAAUUAUUAAUUCUUCAGUUGUCAAGUCAGUGAUUUGUAACGUCCUUUAGUUCUAGAACCAGAAAUGAAAUUUAAAUCUCAUCCAUGCUGCACACAAACAGAAAAUGUUCAAAGCCUUCUGUGGACAAGUCAAAGGCCGAGGCUCCCUGCUGCUGCUUUGACAAAACAAACUAGUCUAAGGAGAGUGUUCUGUUUUGAAUUUCACCAGGAGAAUCCGAGAUGCUUACGGCUGGCCUCACCUAAAGCAACUGAUAAUGAAACUCCCCACUACGCACACGGACUGGUAUUUACCAGGAACUUUAUAUAAGCAUUCACAAAGCUGCGAGGUCAUAGGCUUCGUUAUCCCAACAGUUCUUUGGUAUGUGAUGACGACUCCUCGUAGGCUGAUGGUACUUGGAACAUCUUCCUCUUAACUUUUCAAACGGCGUAGGAUCUAAUGAGACUCCAGGGCAUUUUCGUGUUUCCACAACUGCUGCUGUGUCAAUCAACUUUCACGGAUCAAUACAACUAACAUAUGGUCCGAGGCCGAAAAGCAGAGGAAACUCAGCAAAGGGCUGUCCCAACGUCGUCCUCUAGAGUCCGAUGAGCUGACCACCAGUACUCGUCGGCGGGCAGGGACCGUGACACAGUGAAUUCCAGGAGUUCGAUCUUGCACAGGAACGUUAUUUUCAUACUACUCCAAACAAAAAGGGCUCUCUGCAAAAUUUCUCCUAUUUUUUCCUGUUCUAAUUAAACCCAGGUCUAAUCUCU